UACGGGGGGGGCAAGCGUUGUUCGGAAUUACUGGGCGUAAAGCGCACGUAGGUGGCGACGUAAGUCGGGUGUGAAAGCCCCGGGCUCAACCUGGGAAUUGCAUUCGAGACUGCAUUGCUGGAGUACGGAAGAGGAGGGCGGAAUUCCCGGUGUAGCGGUGAAAUGCGUAGAUAUCUGGAGGAACACCGGUGGCGAAGGCGGCGUCCUGAACCAACACUGACACUGAUGAGCGAAAGCCAGGGGAGCAAACGGG
rnacentral:rRNA from 1 species